AUUAGGAUCAUACAGACACAGUUCCACCGUCCCAAAGUUACCCUGGACAAGAUUUAUUAAGAACGAUAUAAACAGAAUGUAAUGUAAGUUCAAACUUAAAUGUUGUACCAAAUAACUGAGGACACUGGAAAGCUGCUCCGCAACUUGAAACUUCCAGGAGGGUGUGAGAUCAGAGCGAUGGCUUCUCAUGAACAGAUCCAGAGGGCCGCACCGAACAAACUCCUCCACCAUAAUGACUGGCAGAACAACAGCAAUGACACGUGAGAUCAUCUGUAGUAAAGGCUGAUCUAUUCCUUUAACUUUUGUUGGAUUUUUGUCCAGUGGAGCGUGAACACUUACCGUCCAUGCCUUGCAUGCAUAUGCCAAACAUGAGAACCAUGUGUUUAUGGGAUAUCUGUCUCAUUACACUGACUGUGUCCAGGAAGGCCUAAGAGAAGUACAGAAGUAUUAGUGAAAGCAAUACCCCCUUAUUUACUCAUGUAUUAAAAGAUGGGUUGACACUUACAGAAAUGUAAUUGUGUCCUGCUACCAGCACCUUCAGAACCACAUCCACCACCCGAAGGCCCAAAUACCCCUCAUCAUCCUCAUUUCUCAACUUCAGCUGGCCAGCAUAGAUGUUUGUGCGAGUGCCUUGACCCAGGUGUUUGUCCUGUUUAACAAGCAUCAACUUCAUAAGACAGACCAUUUCUUUCCAUUUCUACCUGGCAGAUAAAAGUUAUCUAGUUGGGAAACCCAACAUAUUCUGGAAAACAAUAGCUGAUCUGAACUGGUCGAACAUUGUAAACCUGGUUUAUCCAGCUUCAAGACUGCAAUAUGUUUUUUAUCAGUAUUUUUGUCUUGUC